rnacentral:rRNA from 1 species
CAGCAGCCGCGGGAAUACGAAGGGUGCAAGCGUUAAUCGGAAUUACUGGGCGUAAAGCGUGCGCAGGCGGUUAUGUAAGACAGUUGUGAAAUCCCCGGGCUCAACCUGGGAACUGCAUCUGUGACUGCAUAGCUAGAGUACGGUAGAGGGGGAUGGAAUUCCGCGUGUAGCAGUGAAAUGCGUAGAUAUGCGGAGGAACACCGAUGGCGAAGGCAGCCCCCUGGGCCAACACUGACGCUCAUGCACGAAAGCGUGGGGAGCAAACAGGAUUAGAUACCCCCGUAGUCCCUGUCUCUUAUAA